GAGUUUGACUUGAAAUUGUGAUGCUCCACUCUUAUUCUCAAAUGCAUUUUGACAUGCAUCACGUAAUUAUUUUAUAUACUGUAUAACAAUUAUUUAAUGUUACCAAAUUUGGUUUCGAAAGGAGAGGAGCUAUUAGUAGUCGGGCUGCAUCCAAAGAAUUCAAUGACUGUAUUAACCGGCUAGAACUUAUAGAGAUCAACAUCCCCAACAGAAAAUACACCU
rnacentral:lncRNA from 1 species